CCUACGGGAGGCAGCAGUGAGGAAUAUUGGUCAAUGGACGAGAGUCUGAACCAGCCAAGUAGCGUGAAGGAUGACUGCCCUAUGGGUUGUAAACUUCUUUUAUAAAGGAAUAAAACGAGGCACGUGUGCCUUUUUGCAUGUACUUUAUGAAUAAGGAUCGGCUAACUCCGUGCCAGCAGCCGCGGUAAUACGGAGGAUCCGAGCGUUAUCCGGAUUGAUUGGGUUUAAAGGGAGCGUAGAUGGGUUGUUAAGUCAGUUGUGAAAGUUUGCGGCUCAACCGUAAAAUUGCAAUUGAUACUGGCAGUCUUGAGUACAGUUGAGGUAGGCGGAAUUCGUGGUGUAGCGGUGAAAUGCUUAGAUAUCACGAAGAACUCCGAUUGCGAAGGCAGCUUACUAAACUGCCACUGACAUUGAUGCUCGAAAGUGUGGGUAUCAAACAGGAUUAGAUACCCUAGUAGUC
rnacentral:rRNA from 1 species